rnacentral:rRNA from 1 species
GACGAACGCUGGCGGCGUGCCUAAUACAUGCAAGUAGAACGCUGAAGGAGGAGCUUGCUCUUCUGGAUGAGUUGCGAACGGGUGAGUAGCGCGUAGGUAACCUGCCUGGUAGCGGGGGAUAACUAUUGGAAACGAUAGCUAAUACCGCAUAACAGUAGAUGUUGCAUGACAUUUACUUAAAAGGUGCACUUGCAUCCCUACCAGAUGGACCUGCGUUGUAUUAGCUAGUUGGUGGGGUAACGGCUCACCAAGGCGACGAUACAUAGCCGACCUGAGAGGGUGAUCGGCCACACUGGGACGGAGACACGGCCCAGACUCCUACGGGAGGCAGCAGUAGGGAAUCUUCGGAAAUGGACGGAAGUCUGACCGAGCAACGCCGCGUGAGUGAAGAAGGGUUUCGGAUCGUAAAGCUCGGUUGUAAGAGAAGAACGAGUGUGAGAGUGGAAAGUUCACACUGUGACGGUAUCUUACCAGAAAGGGACGGCUAACUACGUG